GAUGAACGCUGGCGGCGUGCCUCAAACAUGCAAGUCGAGCGGGGCUAUGUAAUAUCGCAAGGUAGAACAUAGCCUAGCGGCGAACGGGUGAGUAACACGUGGGUAACCUGCCUGGAAGACAGGGAUAACGAUUCGAAAGGGUCGCUAAUACCUGAUAAUAUCCUUUCAUCGCAUGGUGAUAGGAAGAAAGGGGAAACCCGCUUUCAGAUGGGCCCGCGUCCCAUCAGCUAGUUGGUAAGGUAAAGGCUUACCAAGGCGACGACGGGUAGCCGGUCUGAGAGGAUGUACGGCCACACUGGGACUGAGAUACGGCCCAGACUCCUACGGGAGGCAGCAGUUGGGAAUCUUAGGCAAUGGACGAAAGUCUGACCUAGCGACGCCGCGUGAGGGAAGAAGGCCUUCGGGUUGUAAAGCACUUUUGGCGGGAACGAAACGGCGCUUUCUAAUACAGAGCGCUAAUGACGGUACCCGCAGAAUAAGCACCGGCUAACUACGUGCCAGCAGCCGACGGUAAACG
rnacentral:rRNA from 1 species